AUUAUAAGUGCAUCAAAUGUUGGCGCUCCAAAUUAAAAAUAUUAAUUAACAAUAAAAAAAUAGAUGGACAUAAUAAGAGUGAGUGCCUUCAAAAUCCUUCUCUCAUAAAUCGAGUAACAACAAGACUUCAGAGUUCAUCUAUACCAGAGGAACAAUAGAAGCAUCAAAUAAUAUUACAUUCAAUUAAUAUAUUAAUUAUUACAUAUAUUAUUAAUAUUCAAUUCAAAAUUUAUUGAAUUUACAAUCUUCUCAGUUGUAAUGGAACUGUCUUUAAAAUAGAUCACAAUUUAGGCUAUAAAGCAGUCUCAACAAAUAAAAUGAAUUGAAGUAUGUAUUAUAUUAAUGAACUAGAAAUCAGUACCGAGAAAGAACAGAAAACUAUAACUAUAUAAAAAAAUAUAAAGAAUACUCUUAUGUACAAUCAGUGCUGUACUCAACAAAUUAAAAAGAAAAUUAAAAUAUUCCUAGGAUCAAAUGAACUCAAAGGCCUGGAGAAGACUCAUCUGAUUUAAAAAAAAUUAAACAAAAAAUGAACAAAAAACCCAACAACAACAACAAAAGCCCUCUUGACUCUCAAGCCUGGUAACAUGAACUAGGUUCCAGGAACCAAUAGUAAAAGGAGAUAAUCAUCCCCUCAAAGUAAUCCUCUUCACAAUACUCAAGAGUAAUGUACCAUCAUGUGCACGCGCACACACACACACACACACACAAAAUAACACACACACUCACACACAUUCACACACACACACUCACACACAUUCACACACACACACACACACACACUCACACACAUUCACACAGACACUCACAUACACAUUCACACACACACAUACACACACUCACACACAUUCACACAGACACUCACAUACACAUUCACA
rnacentral:lncRNA from 1 species